rnacentral:misc_RNA from 1 species
UGUACCAAGCAGGAAAGAGAUGCAGUUAGCACAGGAUAAUUAAGUUUGACAAAAGUAAAUGGGAGGUUAUCAACAUCAUAUAGGCCAAUACAAACUAAUCAACUGAUAACUCCAUUUGCAAACUGGCUCAUCCUCCACGCAUAUGAGCACCUAACUCACCAAACUGAUCAUCAGCUUCCACAGUAUCCUCUGACAGGCGAACAGCAUCCAGCUUUUGUUUUAGGA